UCUCUCCGCCUCAGCUCGCCGGGCUGACAGGUGUUGUGGCUCAGCGGUCUGGUCUGACAGCUCAAUGCCUGUUUAUCUACAUACAUGGAGCUGUCACCUGGCCAGCUCCAGCGCCGUAGUCAAGCAGAGCCUUUUAAAAUGAGUCCAGGGCUGGCUGUGUUUUGGCAUCCUUAAGAAACUUAAUGAAUGGGUCUGCAGGGAUUCCUAUGGGCUGCUUUCUACACACUAAAGUUGUCUAAGAGAAUUUUCCUGUCAGCAAAAUGACCAGAGAAGAGGUUGGACACAAUUAGUUUACUGGUGGGUAAAGGAAGUCACAGGUGUUGUUGGUUUAAUAAAGUUCUGUAGAGCUCAGAGCAAAUUGAUAGUUUUGUGCCUUUAACUUUGCAGGCUGCUGGCUGAAAACCACUGAAAUGUAUUUGUUUCCUCAUAAAAUGAAAUGAUGGUGUCCCCAUGGUUCUGAAGGCAAACAGUGCUGACGUGUGUUGUUUGAGAGCAAAAAUUUCUGAUGUGACACUUUCCCCUCUGACCCUGUGUUUGUGCAGUAAUGGAAUAUCAGGUGCAGAUCAACAGUAUCAAGGCCAAGCUUCAAGAGACUCGUGCUCGAAAGAAACAGCAGGAGGAGCUCAUCAUGAAAGUGGAAAACCAGGCCCUCAAAAACCGUUUCCAGGCCUUAUUGGAUGAGAUUAUUCAGCAGGAAGAGCGAGAGAUGGAACAACUGGCCUCGCUGCAGGAGCAGCUGGACUCUCUGAUCGAGAAGUGACCAACAGGUGGCAGCCUUAUGCCUUGUUCCCUCUCACAGUGGAAGACAGAAGAGACAGUCUGUCUGAAGAAUCACUAUUCUGUGUUUGUGUUGUACUGAAAUUGUAUCAUAGGGUUGUGUUUUCCCCUUAAUCUUUUUUUUUUUUUUUAUCAUUCUCUGCUGUUAGUUAUUUACAAUGAAUAAAAAACAUUUGUCCAUC